rnacentral:rRNA from 1 species
GACGAACGCUGGCGGCGUGCCUAAUACAUGCAAGUUGAGCGCUGAAGGUUGGUACUUGUACCGACUGGAUGAGCAGCGAACGGGUGAGUAACGCGUGGGGAAUCUGCCUUUGAGCGGGGGACAACAUUUGGAAACGAAUGCUAAUACCGCAUAAAAACUUUAAACACAAGUUUUAAGUUUGAAAGAUGCAAUUGCAUCACUCAAAGAUGAUCCCGCGUUGUAUUAGCUAGUUGGUGAGGUAAAGGCUCACCAAGGCGAUGAUACAUAGCCGACCUGAGAGGGUGAUCAGCCACAGUGGGACUGAGACACGGCCCAAAAUCCUACGGGAGGCAGCAGGAGGGAAUCUUCGGCAAUGGACGAAAGUCUGACCGGGCAACGCCGCGUGAGUGAAGAAGGUUGUCGGAUCGUAAAACUCUUUUGGUAGAGAAGAACGUUGGUGAGAGUGGAAAGCUCAUCAAGUGACGGUAACUACCCAGAAAGGGACGGCUAACUACGUG